AUACUUACCUGGCAGGGGAGAUACCAUGAUCAUGAAGGUGGUUUUCCCAGGGUGAGGCUCAUCCAUUGCACUGCGGGUGUGCUGACCCCUGUGAUUUCCCCAAAUGUGGGAAACUCGACUGCAUAAUUUGUGGUAGUGGGGGACUGCGUUCGUGCUUUCCCCUG
ensembl:snRNA U1 U1 spliceosomal RNA